rnacentral:rRNA from 1 species
AUACGUAGGUGACAAGCGUUAUCCGGAUUUACUGGGCGUAAAGGGCGUGUAGGCGGUCUUGCAAGUCGGAAGUGAAAUUCCUGAGCUCAACUCGGGCGCUGCUUCUGAAACUGCAGGACUUGAGUGCUGGAGGGGAUAGCGGAAUUCCUAGUGGAGCGGUAAAAUGCGCAGAUAUUAGGAAGAACACCGGUGGCGAAGGCGGCUAGCUGGACAGUAACUGACGCUGAGGCGCGAAAGCGUGGGGAGCAAACAGGAUUAGAUACCCUGGUAGUCCACGCCGUAAACGAUGAGUGCUAAGUGUUGGAGGGUUUCCGCCCUUCAGUGCUGCAGCUAACGCAUUAAGCACUCCGCCUGGGGAGUACGGCCGCAAGGCUGAAACUCAAAUGAAUUGGCGGGG